UUGGGAAUUGUACACAAUGGGCGAAAGCCUGAUGUCGCGACGCCGCGUGGAGGAUGACGGCCCUCGGGUUGUAAACUCCUUUUCCCAGGGAAAAUUGUGAUGGUACCUGGGGAAUAAGGACCCGCUAACUACGUGCCAGCAGCUGCGGUAAUACGUAGGGUCCAAGCGUUAUCCGGAUUUAUUGGGCGUAAAGCACAUGUAGGUGGUUUAAUAAGUCUCCUUUUAAAGCUCUGGGCUCAACCCAGAAUCUGGAGGAGAUACUGUUAGGCUAGUGGUCAGCAGGGGCAAAUGGAAUUCACGGUGUAGGAGUGAAAUCCGUUGAUAUCAUGAGGAACACCAAUGGCGAAGGCAAUUUGCUAGGCUGAUUCAGACACUGAGAUGUGAAAGCGUGGGGAGCGAACGGG
rnacentral:rRNA from 1 species